AUUGAACGCUGGCGGCAGGCCUAACACAUGCAAGUCGAGCGAGCGGCGGACGGGUGAGUAAUGUAUGGGGAUCUGCCCUAUGGCGGGGGAAAACUACUGGAAACGGUAGCUAAUACCGCAUACUAUCAUAUGACCCCAUAGGGGAUUAGCUAGUAGGUGGGGUAAAGGCUCACCUAGGCGACGAUCCCUAGCUGGUCUGAGAGGAUGAUCAGCCAAACUGGGCCUGAGACACGGCCCAGACGCCUACGUGAGGAAGCAGUGGGGAAUAUUGCACAAUGGGCGCAAGCCUGAUGCAGCCAUGCCGCGUGUAUGAAGAAGGCCUUAGGGUUGUAAAGUACUUUCAGCGGGGAGGCGUUACCCGCAGAAGAAGCACCGGCUAACUCCGUGCCAGCAGCCGCGGUAAUAC
rnacentral:rRNA from 1 species